rnacentral:misc_RNA from 1 species
UUUUUUCUCUUUGAAAAUGCAGGUGGAAUGAUAUUUCUGUAUUAAUGAUAAUCUGAAUGCAUGUUUUUGCUUUUUGAACAUACCGUACAGUUUGAAUAAUGCAGAAUUGCCUGCACUUGUGUCUACGUGUCCAUCCUAAUCAAAAUUGGGCCAUAUUAUCUUCUCUGCCAUUCGAACUUUGUUUCUAUAAUUGGAAGUAUACAACUGAACAAUUGACAAUUACUGUUUGCGUUCUGAUGUUUGAAUACUGAGACAAAGCAAUCAUUCUAGAUCGUGAUUGGAAUUUUCUACAAGGUAGUUAGUGUGAGGAUUCUCUGCUAGGCAGAGUCACUCGACUUUUGCUGUUUUUCAAUAAUAUUAAUGAAUAAUAAAAUAAGAUGGGCUUUAGAAAUCAGCAUAAUUCUCAACUUGGUUUUUUUCUUCUAUGGUUUUUACUCGAAUGACGCCAGACUUCAGCUGCGUUUCAAUCCUCGUUAUGGGACAAAUGAUAAUGCUGUGGAUGAAUAUAAAAAGCUAAAAAAGUUGGCCAUGCCUGAUACAGCUGAAACUCAUGAGCCGACUUCCUGCGAGGUAAACUAAUUUC